AAGUUGUGAUGUGGGCACUUUCUCAAUAAAUCUUUGAAUCUCUCCCAAGCUUCGUAGAAACUGUCUUGAUCAUGGUGGACAAAAGUCAUUAUCUCAUUGCGCAGUUU
rfam:Jatropha curcas cultivar GZQX0401 scaffold562_9, whole genome shotgun sequence.